rnacentral:rRNA from 1 species
GACGAACGCUGGCGGCGUGCUUAACACAUGCAAGUCGAACGGAAAGGCCCUGCUUUUGUGGGGUGCUCGAGUGGCGAACGGGUGAGUAACACGUGAGUAACCUGCCCUUGACUUUGGGAUAACUUAAGGAAACUGGGGCUAAUACCGGAUAGGAGCUCCUGCUGCAUGGUGGGGGUUGGAAAGUUUCGGCGGUUGGGGAUGGACUCGCGGCUUAUCAGCUUGUUGGUGGGGUAGUGGCUUACCAAGGCUUUGACGGGUAGCCGGCCUGAGAGGGUGACCGGCCUCAUUGGGACUGAGAUACGGCCCAGACUCCUACGGGAGGCAGCAGUGGGGAAUAUUGCACAAUGGGCGGAAGCCUGAUGCAGCAACGCCGCGUGCGGGAUGACGGCCUUCUGGGUGUAAACCGCUUUCGCCUGUGACGAAGCGUGAGUGACGGUAAUGGGUAAAGAAGCACCGGCUAACUACGUG